UGGGGAAUUUUGGACAAUGGGCGAAAGCCUGAUCCAGCAAUGCCGCGUGCAGGAAGAAGGCCUUCGGGUUGUAAACUGCUUUUGUACGGAACGAAAAGGCUCUUUCUAAUAAAGAGGGCCCAUGACGGUACCGUAAGAAUAAGCACCGGCUAACUACGUGCCAGCAGCCGCGGUAAUACGUAGGGUGCGAGCGUUAAUCGGAAUUACUGGGCGUAAAGCGUGCGCAGGCGGUUCUAUAAGACAGAUGUGAAAUCCCCGGGCUCAACCUGGGAAUGGCAUUUGUGACUGUAGAGCUAGAGUACGGUAGAGGGGGAUGGAAUUCCGCGUGUAGCAGUGAAAUGCGUAGAUAUGUGGAGGAACACCGAUGGCGAAGGCAGCCCCCUGGGGUCAAGAUUGACGCUCAUGCACGAAAGCGUGGGGAGCAAACAGGAUUAGAUACCCAUGUAGUCCCUGAGCGGGCUGGCAAGGCGCAU
rnacentral:rRNA from 1 species